UAGGGAAUCUUCCACAAUGGACGCAAGUCUGAUGGAGCAACGCCGCGUGAGUGAAGAAGAUCUUCGGAUCGUAAAACUCUGUUGUUAGAGAAGAACACGAGUGAGAGUAACUGUUCAUUCGAUGACGGUAUCUAACCAGCAAGUCACGGCUAACUACGUGUCAG
rnacentral:rRNA from 1 species